rnacentral:snRNA from 1 species
GUGCUCACUUCAGCAGUGCAUAUACUAAAAUCAGAAUGAUACAGAAAAGAUUAGCAUGGCCCCUGCACAAGGAUGACAUGCAAAAUUUGUGAAGCAUUCCAAAAUUUG